rnacentral:rRNA from 1 species
GUCGAAAGACGUAGUCGAUGGAUAACAGGUUGAAAUUCCUGUACUAUCCUGCAACAGAACUGUGGGGACACAGGCAGAGAGCGUGAGCCGGGAAUGGAAAGACCGGUACAAGCGAGGUAGGAGAAGAGUUGGCAAAUCCGCUCUUUAAUCUGAAGACGUGAUGUGGACUGAAAAUAAGUAGGGAAGCACGUGAGCUGACUGUCAAGAAAAGCCGCUAUUGUUUGCAGGAUACCCGUACCGUAAACCGACACAGGUGGAUGAGGAGAGAAUCCUAAGGCCGACGGGAGAAGCAUUGUUAAGGAACUCGGCAAAAUGACUCCGUAACUUCGGGAGAAGGAGUGCCAGUAAGAUGGCCGCAGAGAAUUGGCCCAAGCAACUGUUUAGCAAAAACACAGGUCUAUGCAAAACCGAAAGGUGAGGUAUAUGGGCUGACGCCUGCCCGGUGCUGGAAGGUUAAGGGGAGAGGUUAGCGCAAGCGAAGCUUUGAACUUAAGCCCCAGUAAACGGCGGCCGUAACAAUAACGGUCCUAAGGUAGCGAAAUUCCUUGUCGGGUAAGUUCCGACCCGCACGAAAGGCGUAAUGAUUUGGGCACUGUCUCAACAAUGCACCCGGUGAAAUUGAAAUACCAGUGAAGAUGCUGGUUACCUGCGCCAGGACGGAAAGACCCCAUGGAGCUUUACUCCAGCUUGAUACUGGGAUUCGGUAUUGCAUGUACAGGAUAGGUGGGAGGCUAGGAAAUGGUAACGCCAGUUGCCAUGGAGCCAAUGUUGGGAUACCACCCUUGCAGUACUGGGUUUCUAACCAGCAGCCGUGAUCCGGCUGGGGGACAAUGUCAGGUGGGGAGUUUGACUGGGGCGGUCGCCUCCGAAAGGGUAUCGGAGGCGCUCAAAGGUUCCCUCAGAAUGGUUGGAAACCAUUCGAAGAGUGCAAAGGCAGAAGGGAGCUUGACUGCGACACCGACGGGUGGAGCAGGUACGAAAGUAGGACUUAGUGAUCCGGUGGUAUAAAGUGGGAUUGCCAUCGCUCAACGGAUAAAAGCUACCCUGGGAUAACAGGCUUAUCACUCCCAAGAGUUCACAUCGACGGAGUGGUUUGGCACCUCGAUGUCGGCUCAUCGCAUCCUGGGGCUGAAGUAGGUCCCAAGGGUUGGGCUGUUCGCCCAUUAAAGCGGUACGCGAGCUGGGUUCAGAACGUCGUGAGACAGUCCGGUCCCUAUCCGGCGUGGGCGUAAGAUAUUUGAGAGGAGCUGUCCUUAGUACGAGAGGACCGGGAUGGACUGGCCGCUGGUGUAUCUGUUGUCUUACCAAAGGCAUAGCAGAGUAGCCGAGCCGGGAAGGGAUAAACGCUGAAGGCAUCUAAGCGUGAAGCCCCCCUCAAGAUGAGAUAUCUCAUAACGUCAAGUUAGUAAGACCCCUUGAAGACGACGAGGUAGAUAGGGCAGAGGUGGAAGUGUGGUAACACAUGGAGCUGACUGUUACUAAUAGGUCGAGGGCAUAACCAA